CCUACGGGUGGCAGCAGUGAGGAAUAUUGGUCAAUGGGCGUAAGCCUGAACCAGCCAAGUCGCGUGAGGGAUGAAGGUUCUACGGAUCGUAAACCUCUUUUAUAAGGGAAUAAAGUGUGGGACGUGUCCUCUUUUAUAUGUACCUUAUGAAUAAGGAUCGGCUAACUCCGUGCCAGCAGCCGCGGUAAUACGGAGGAUCCGAGCGUUAUCCGGAUUUAUUGGGUUUAAAGGGUGCGUAGGCGGCCUUUUAAGUCAGCGGUGAAAGUCUGUGGCUCAACCCGAGAAGUGCAGUUGAAACUGGCGGGCUUGAGUAUGGUUGAGGCAGGCGGAAUGCGUGGUGUAGCGGUGAAAUGCUUAGAUAUCACGCAGAACCCCGAUUGCGAAGGCAGCCUGCCAAGCCAAGACUGACGCUGAUGCACGAAAGCGUGGGUAUCAAACAGGAUUAGAUACCCCUGUAGUC
rnacentral:rRNA from 1 species